rnacentral:rRNA from 1 species
UUAACGGAGAGUUUGAUUCUGGCUCAGAACGAACGCUGGCGGCGUGGAUAAGACAUGCAAGUCGAGCGAGAUUUUUUCCUGUAGCAAUACAGGGAAAAGUCUAGCGGCGAACGGGUGCUUAACACGUGGGCAACCUGCCGGGAAGUGGGGGAUAGCUCGCCGAAAGGCGAAUUAAUACCGCAUGUGAUCAGAGAGGACAUCCUUUCGAAAUCAAAGGUGGCGCAAGCUACCGCUUCUUGUGGGGCCCGCGGCCUAUCAGCUAGUUGGUGAGGUAACGGCCCACCAAGGCUUUGACGGGUAGCUGGUCUGAGAGGACGACCAGCCACACUGGGACUGAGACACGGCCCAGACACCUACGGGUGGCAGCAGUCGAGAAUUUUUCUCAAUGGGGGAAACCCUGAAGGAGCGACGCCGCGUGGAGGAUGAAGGUCUUCGGAUUGUAAACUCCUGUCAUUGGGGAACAAGGUGCAUACGUUAACUGCGUGUGCAUUGAUAGUACCCGAAGAGGAAGAGACGGCUAACUCUGUGCCAGCAGCCGCGGUAAUACAGAGGUCUCAAGCGUUGUUCGGAUUCAUUGGGCGUAAAGGGUGCGUAGGCGGCGCGGUAAGUCGGGUGUGAAAUCUCGGGGCUUAACUCCGAAACUGCAUUCGAUACUGCCGUGCUUGAGGACUGGAGAGGAGACUGGAAUUUACGGUGUAGCGGUGAAAUGCGUAGAUAUCGUAAGGAAGACCAGUGGCGAAGGCGGGUCUCUGGACAGUUCCUGACGCUGAGGCACGAAGGCCAGGGGAGCAAACGGGAUUAGAUACCCCGGUAGU